UACGAAGGGUGCAAGCGUUAUCCGGAUUCACUGGGUUUAAAGGGUGCGUAGGUGGGUCUGUAAGUCAGUGGUGAAAUCUCCGUGCUUAACAUGGAAACUGCCAUUGAUACUAUAGGUCUUGAAUUUUCUGGAGGUAAGCGGAAUAUGUCAUGUAGCGGUGAAAUGCUUAGAUAUGACAUAGAACACCAAUUGCGAAGGCAGCUUGCUACAGGGAUAUUGACACUGAGGCACGAAAGCGUGGGGAUCAAACAGG
rnacentral:rRNA from 1 species